GUGCCCUGGAAUGGGGGAUAACGUAGCGAAAGUUACGCUAAUACCGCAUAUUCUGUGAGCAGGAAAGCAGGGGAUCGCAAGACCUUGCGCUGAUUGAGCGGCCGAUGUCAGAUUAGCUAGUUGGUGAGGUAAAGGCUCACCAAGGCGACGAUCUGUAGCGGGUCUGAGAGGAUGAUCCGCCACACUGGAACUGAGACACGGUCCAGACUCCUACGGGAGGCAGCAGUGGGGAAUUUUGGACAAUGGGGGCAACCCUGAUCCAGCCAUGCCGCGUGAGUGAAGAAGGCCUUCGGGUUGUAAAGCUCUUUCGGCCGGGAAGAAAUCGUAU
rnacentral:rRNA from 1 species